rnacentral:rRNA from 1 species
ACGUCGACACCUACGGGAGGCAGCAGUGGGGAAUAUUGCACAAUGGGGGAAACCCUGAUGCAGCGACGCCGCGUGGAGGAAGAAGGUCUUCGGAUUGUAAACUCCUGUUGUUGGGGAAAAAGAGGAUGGUACCCAACAAGGAAGUGACGGCUAACUACGUGUCAGCAGCCGCGGUAAUCUGAGCGGGCUGGCAAGGC